rnacentral:rRNA from 1 species
UUACCGGGAGCGCGCCCGGGGGGAGCCAUCCUCCCCCCGGGCCUCGGGGUGCCUUUGGGGGCCCUGAACUCUCACCUUGUGUUGUCUUACCUGACGUUGCUUCGGCGGCAUGGGUCUUCUCUUCGGGGGGGUUCCCUCGCCGGAGGACCUUAAAAUCUUGUUUGUCUGGGUGAUGUCCGAGGGCGAAAACGAAAAUCGUGAAAAACUUUCAACAACGGAUCUCUUGGUUCCGGCAUCGAUGAAGAACGCAGCGAAAUGCGAUAAGUAAUGCGAAUUGCAGAAUUCAGUGAAUCAUCGAAUCUUUGAACGCACAUUGCGCCCCCUGGCACUCCGGGGGGCAUGCCCGUUCGAGCGUCAUUGACCCCUUCAAGCCUCGGGCUUGGUGUUGGGCCGCGUCCCUCCCGCUCCAGGGGGGGAUGUGCCUGAAGAUGAGUGGUGGCCCCGGGACGACCCUUGGCGCGAUGGUAAUCCUUCGCCGUCGGGCCUCGCCCCGGGUGCCUGCCAACUAACCACGCCCCUGGGAGGAGGACUCGGAAUACACCUGUGACUUUUGAGAACCAAGAGCUCAGGUUACCCUCCCUUGGGAAGCACACGGUUGACCUCGAAUCGGGUAGGGAUACCCGCUGAACUUAAGCA